GGGGCCGACCGGUUUUGACAGCAUAGGUCUUUGAGCGUGUAAGCAUGUAGUGCGUUGGAUAAUUAGCACUUUAAUCUGAAUAUUCAAAACUCAAACGGCGAAACAUCUUUCGCAAUGGCUGCUUAAUUUAAGUACCCAUUUACAGUCCGUUCAUUUCGGGUAGAUUCAUAACCUACGUUGAACCGACUUCACCAGAGAAUAUGAGUUGCUGUAAGAUUAGGCUGUGCUUCUUACAAAAGAAACAUCCAGCUAAGGGUUUCAUUGGUUCGUUCUGCUCCGGUGAUAUCACAAAAACCAAUGCAGAAAUAAACAUGUAGAAAGCGUUUACGGAGUGUGUUUGGACAGGGGUUCGACUCCCCUCGGUUCCACCC
rnacentral:tmRNA from 1 species